UUUCCAUGAGGAUAACUUUGUCCAGUUCUGCUACUGAAUGCUAGUGGUGAUAUCAAAGACUCUGAGAAA
ensembl:snoRNA